AGAACACCAUUUCAGAUCUUAUGAUGAACCGCAUAGAUUUGUCGCUUCUGGUUAUCACUAAGGGUCUCACAAAAACAGGGGAUGAUUAUGCAGUAAAGACAACACAUGUUGAACUUGUUGAACGCAUACGCAAGCGGGAUGCUGCCACUGCUCCAAAUGUUGGGGAUCAUGUUCCGUAUGUUAUUAUUAAAGCUGCAAAAAGUGCCA